rnacentral:rRNA from 1 species
CAAAGAUUAAGCCAUGCAUGUCUAAGUAUAAGCAACUAUACAGUGAAACUGCGAAUGGCUCAUUAAAUCAGUUAUCGUUUAUUUGAUAGUACCUUACUACUUGGAUAACCGUGGUAAUUCUAGAGCUAAUACAUGCUAAAAAUCCCGACCUCCGGAAGGGAUGUAUUUAUUAGAUAAAAAACCAAUGCCUUCGGGCUCCUUGGUGAUUCAUGAUAACUUAACGAAUCGCAUGGCCUUGCGCCGGCGAUGGUUCAUUCAAAUUUCUGCCCUAUCAACUUUCGAUGGUAGGAUAGUGGCCUACCAUGGUUUCAACGGGUAACGGGGAAUUAGGGUUCGAUUCCGGAGAGGGAGCCUGAGAAACGGCUACCACAUCCAAGGAAGGCAGCAGGCGCGCAAAUUACCCAAUCCCGAUUCGGGGAGGUAGUGACAAUAAAUACUGAUACAGGGCUCUUUUGGGUCUUGUAAUUGGAAUGAGUACAAUUUAAAUCCCUUAACGAGGAACAAUUGGAGGGCAAGUCUGGUGCCAGCAGCCGCGGUAAUUCCAGCUCCAAUAGCGUAUAUUAAAGUUGUUGCAGUUAAAAAGCUCGUAGUUGAACCUUGGGUUUGGCUGCUCGGUCCGCCUAACCGCGUGCACUGAUGCGGCCGGAUCUUUCCUUCUGGCUAACCUCAUGCCCUUUACUGGGUGUGCUGGGGAUCCAGGACUUUUACUUUGAAAAAAUUAGAGUGUUCAAAGCAGGCCUUUGCUCGAAUACAUUAGCAUGGAAUAAUAGAAUAGGACGGCGGUUCUAUUUUGUUGGUUUCUAGAGCCACCGUAAUGAUUAAUAGGGAUAGUCGGGGGCAUCAGUAUUCAAUUGUCAGAGGUGAAAUUCUUGGAUUUAUUGAAGACUAACUACUGCGAAAGCAUUUGCCAAGGAUGUUUUCAUUAAUCAGUGAACGAAAGUUAGGGGAUCGAAGACGAUCAGAUACCGUCGUAGUCUUAACCAUAAACUAUGCCGACUAGGGAUCGGGCGGUGUUCAACUUAUGACCCGCUCGGCACCUUACGAGAAAUCAAAGUUUUUGGGUUCUGGGGGGAGUAUGGUCGCAAGGCUGAAACUUAAAGGA